GAAAAAAUAAUCCCUAAAGAGAAGUAGUUUAGGAACUAGAGAUUUGGUCGGAGAUGGACGGUGGUCGUCGUUUCACACUGCUCCGUCCACCAUUCUCCACUAAAAAGCAAUGCCCGCUUUCAACCUCCCUCAAUGAUUAAUGUUAUAGCUUAAUAAAAAGAAAUUCCAUCUCUAUAAUAUCAACAACAACCUCUUUAACCACAAGUUUCUACCACUUCUUCUCACCACUCGUAUCACUUUCUUUGCCGUCUUCCUCUCUCUCUCCUCAUUACUUUUUUAUAUUUAUCCAACAAACUUCGCUUUUUUUCAAAACCAUACCCUUUUUUUUUUUCACUCUUUCUUAAUUCUUACUAUGGCUUUACUCGUGACCAUCAUCUUAGGGCUCAUCGCCGGAUGGUUAGCUUUCGUUGUUGGGUUGCUCAUAGGAUGGGCAUGGAAACCCAGAUGGGUUUCUUCUCCUAGUGAAGACGAAGUCAAGUCACAAUGCUCUGCUCCUAGAUCUUUCGAGUCGUCUUCACCAUCAUCAUCUCCUUCUCCACGUUCUGCAACAUCUCCAUUAAAGGGUUUUGGUUCAGCUCCUUGCUUCAAAGCUCUGGUUUGUGACACUUGGAAUAUGGCUUUAAGACAACAGAAAACAGUUUAUCCUGUUUCUUCUUCUGAGCAAGAAGUACAUGUAGUUUGAUGGAGGGAAGAAAACAGAGGAGAGGUUGCCUAAUACUGUAACAGAAUUAGAUUUGAGACAUCUUGUGCAACUGGUUGAGAGGAAAGAUGGUGGCCUAGCUUGGGUUCAGAUGAUGGAUCAGUUUGUUCCUGGUAUGAGAUAUCAAGCUUGGUUAAGAGAACCUAAGAAUGGUCCUACUGAGUAUGGAAGCAGAACUGUGUUUGAAGAUGCAACUCCUGAGGUUGUAAGAGAUUUCUUCUGGGAUGAUGAGUUUAGACCAACUUGGGAUACAAUGCUCUCUAGUUCCACAACUGUUGAAGAGUGUGCAAGUACUGGAACCAUGAUUGUUAGAUGGAUACGCAAUGCUCCAGCGGACUCUAUGAGCUGAAGUCACCGACCCUUGAGAGUGAGAGCUUUUACUAUUCUGUUUUAAGAUCAUCUUUUUGUUGACAGUGUCUCCUUUACCUUGAAAUAUUUGAAUGGGUAGGAGAUCAAUAUAGCUUGGAAAGACUAUGCGUAACUAUUUAUUAUAAGACUUUUAUGUGUGUGAUUUGCUCAGCUAUACUGUUUCUUGCUGAAAGAUUCCGGGUACUUACAUACCUCGGUAAAACGGGGGAUAUAUGUGAGGUGAAACACGAGUCGAUCUCAGAGUUUAUAAAAUAGGAAACACAAAGCAUUUUAUAUACCGAAAGAGUUUGCCACAUCACUCUCAAAUCUAUAUAAAAAUAGAUAACCCGAUUUUGUUUUCUGAUGAUGUCAUCAUUUUCUAUAAGAAAAAAAAGUUCAAUUCAACCAUUGAGUUUAUCAUUAUUUUGUAAUCUAACGAACGGACAAGGAUUGUUUUUUUU